AGUAACACGUGGGUAACCUGCCCCGAUGACUGGGACAACCCGAGGAAACUCGGGCUAAUACCGAAUGUGCCCUUCGACCGCAAGGUCGCUGGGGAAAGGAAGCUUCGGCCUCCGCAUCGGGAUGGGCCCGCGGCCCAUUAGCUUGUUGGUGAGGUAACGGCUCACCAAGGCGACGAUGGGUAGCUGGUCUGAGAGGAUGAUCAGCCACACUGGGACUGAGACACGGCCCAG
rnacentral:rRNA from 1 species